rnacentral:rRNA from 1 species
CCAAUAGCGUAUAUUAAAGUUGUUGCAGUUAAAAAGCUCGUAGUUGAAUUUCGGGGUUAGUAGGUUGGUCAUGCCUCUGGUAUGUACUGGUCUCACUGAUUCCUCCUUCCUGAUGAGCCGUAAUGCCAUUAAUUUGGUGUUGCGAGGAAUCUGGACUGUUACUUUGAAAAAAUUAGAGUGUUUAAAGCAGGCUAACGCUUGAAUACAUUAGCAUGGAAUAAUGAAAUAGGACGUUCGAUCCUAUUUUGUUGGUUUCUAGGAUUGACGUAAUGAUUAAUAGGGAUAGUUGGGGGCAUUAGUAUUCAAUUGUCAGAGGUGAAAUUCUUGGAUUUAUUGAAGACUAACUACUGCGAAAGCAUUUGCCAAGGAUGUUUUCAUUAAUCAAGAACGAAAGUUAGGGGAUCGAAGACGAUCAGAUACCGUCGUAGUCUUAACCAUAAACUAUGCCGACUAGGGAUCGGAUGAUGUUAAUUUUUUAAUGACUCAUUCGGCGCCUUACG